UGAAUAUUUCAGUUGUUUAUUUUUUAAUACAUUUGCAAAACAUUUUACAAAACCAGUUUUUGCGUUUGUAAUUUUGAGGUAUUGUUUGCAGAUUCAGGGGGGAAAAAACUAUUUCAUAUAUUUUCGAAUAAGGCCGUAACGUAACAAAAUGUGGGGAAAAGUCAAGGGGUCUGAACACUUUCCAAAUGCUCUGUAUAUAUUUAUAGAAACAAUGUGAACAAAUGCUCUGAAUAUAAGGAACGUAACAAUACAUUAUGUAGAUGUAUAUAAUGAACAGACUAGGUCUAUACUGCUCCUACAUGGUGUAACAAUACAUCAUGUAUAUAAUGAACAGACUAGGUCUAUACUGCUCCUACAUGGUGUAACAUCAUGUAGAUGUAUAUAAUGAACAGACUAGGUCUAUACUGCUCCUACAUGGUGUAACAUCAUGUAGAUGUAUAUAAUGAACAGACUAGGUCUAUACUGCUCCUACAUGGUGUAACAAUACAUCAUGUAGAUGUAUAUAAUGAACAGACUAGGUCUAUACUGCUCCUACAUGGUGUAACAAUACAUCAUGUAGAUGUAUAUAAUGAACAGACUAGGUCUAUACUGCUCCUACAUGGUGUAACAUCAUGUAGAUGUAUAUAAUGAACAGACUAGGUCUAUACUGCUCCUACAUGGUGUAACAAUACAUCAUGUAGAUGUAUAUAAUGAACAGACUAGGUCUAUACUGCUCCUACAUGGUGUAACAAUACAUCAUGUAUAUAAUGAACAGACUAGGUCUAUACUGCUCCUACAUGGUGUAACAAUACAUCAUGUAUAUAAUGAACAGACUAGGUCUAUACUGCUCCUACAUGGUGUAACAAUACAUCAUGUA